rnacentral:lncRNA from 1 species
CAUCAAAGGAGGCAGCUGUCCCAGGGGCUCCAGACAGCGUCUCAUCAAGACGCCCUGGAACUCGCCCAGCUUGCUUCAGAUGUUCCAGGCUCAUUUUGGGUGCUUCUGUCUACAGGCCUGGCUGGGCCAUGUCAGCAUUUCUGGGAUGGAUCAAGGACUUCUAGGAAGGUUGAGUUAGAACCACGAGUUCUGUUUCCAGACCAUGAGGAGCCUGUGGGACACAGCAUCAUGCAGCUGAAGGUAAUUGAUUCUGAAUACAUUUGAAAUUUCUUCAGAGGCCU